AUUGAACGCUGGCGGCAGGCCUAACACAUGCAAGUCGAACGGUAACAGGGAUCAGCUUGCUGAUUCGCUGACGAGUGGCGGACGGGUGAGUAAUGUCUGGGAAACUGCCUGAUGGAGGGGGAUAACUACUGGAAACGGUAGCUAAUACCGCAUAACGUCGCAAGACCAAAGAGGGGGACCUUCGGGCCUCUUGCCAUCGGAUGUGCCCAGAUGGGAUUAGCUAGUAGGUGGGGUAACGGCUCACCUAGGCGACGAUCCCUAGCUGGUCUGAGAGGAUGACCAGCCACACUGGAACUGAGACACGGUCCAGACUCCUACGGGAGGCAGCAGUGGGGAAUAUUGCACAAUGGGCGCAAGCCUGAUGCAGCCAUGCCGCGUGUAUGAAGAAGGCCUUCGGGUUGUAAAGUACUUUCAGCGGGGAGGAAGGGAGUAAAGUUAAUACCUUUGCUCAUUGACGUUACCCGCGGAAGAAGCACCGGCUAACUCCGUG
rnacentral:rRNA from 1 species